UUGCACGAUCCGACGGCCAGAACUUCAUCAGAACCCAGAUCGGACGGCUGACAUUUGAUCCGACCCUGAUAAGGAUUAUAACUCUAAUUUUUGAGCAGAUCUGGGCGGUCCGAAGCUGAUCCGACGGCCAGGAAUAUUCCUAAGGAGAUUUAUACGAUUUCUAAGGGUUUUAGGACUCCUUUUCCUACCAAAAAAUCAUGAAAAAUUUAUCUAUAAAUAGGAGGUC
rnacentral:lncRNA from 1 species